rnacentral:rRNA from 1 species
AGUGAACGCUGGCGGUAGGCCUAACACAUGCAAGUCGAACGGCAGCACAGUAAGAGCUUGCUCUUACGGGUGGCGAGUGGCGGACGGGUGAGGAAUACAUCGGAAUCUACUUUUUCGUGGGGGAUAACGUAGGGAAACUUACGCUAAUACCGCAUACGACCUACGGGUGAAAGCAGGGGAUCUUCGGACCUUGCGCGAUUGAAUGAGCCGAUGUCGGAUUAGCUAGUUGGCGGGGUAAAGGCCCACCAAGGCGACGAUACGUAGCUGGUCUGAGAGGAUGGUCAGCCACACUGGAACGGAGACACGGUCCAGACUCCUACGGGAGGCAGCAGUGGGGAAUAUUGGACAAUGGGCGCAAGCCUGAUCCAGCCAUACCGCGUGUGUGAAGAAGGCCUUCGGGUUGUAAAGCCCUUUUGUUGGGAAAGAAAAGCAGCAGGUUAAGACCCCGCUGUUCUGACGGUACCCAAAGAAUAAGCACCGGCUAACUUCGUG